rnacentral:rRNA from 1 species
UACGGAGGGUGCGAGCGUUAAUCGGAAUUACUGGGCGUAAAGGGCUCGUAGGCGGCCAACUAAGUCAGACGUGAAAUCCCUCGGCUUAACCGGGGAACUGCGUCUGAUACUGGAUGGCUUGAGGUUGGGAGAGGGAUGCGGAAUUCCAGGUGUAGCGGUGAAAUGCGUAGAUAUCUGGAGGAACACCGGUGGCGAAGGCGGCAUCCUGGACCAAUUCUGACGCUGAGGAGCGAAAGCCAGGGGAGCAAACGGG